UCAGAUCAGACGUGGCAACCCGCUGAAUUUAAGCAUAUUUGUCAGCGGAGACAAAAAGACUAACCAGGAUUUCCUCAGUAAAGGCAAAUGAACAGGGAAGAGCCCAGCGCUGAAUCCCUGCCCUGUGGUGGGGUGCGGGACAUGUGGCGGAUGGAAGACCCACUCCCCGGCACGGCUCAUGGGGGGCGCAAGUCCUUCUGAUCAAGGCCCAGCCUGUGGACGGUGUGAGGCCAGUAGUGGCCCCCAGUGUGCUGGGCCCAGGUCUUCCUGGAGUUGGGUUGUUUGGGAAUGCAGCCCAAAGUGGGUGGUAAACUCCAUCUAAGGCUAAAUACCGGCACAAGACGUAUAGUCAACAAUUACCAUAAGAAAAAGUUGAAAAGAACUUUGAAGAGAGAGUUCAAGAAGGUGUGAAACCGUUAAGAGGUAAGUGGGUGGGGUUCGCCCAGUCUGCCAGGAGGAUUCAACUCAGCGACGGGUCCGGUCUUGCCUGCAGCCCGGUGGAUCUUUCCCGCUGCCCGUUCCUCCCGACUCCUCCACCACCCUCCCUACCACGCUCAUCGCUCUUCCCUUCGUCUCUGGGCAGAGGUGGGCGGUGCUCCAGGCGCAUUUCCACCACGGCGGUGCGCUGCGACCGACCGGCUCUGGGAUGGCUGGGAAGGAUGGCGGGAAAGGGGGCUCAGGGGUCCCCACCGUCACGGCGGCGGGUCCACCACCCCCGAGUGUUACAGCCCCCUGGCAGCAGCGCUCGUCAAAUCCCGGGGCUGAGGGAGCCAGACCUGUGGCCGCGCUCUCCCCGCUCCCAGCGCUCCCCGCCGCGGGUCACAUCGGUGUUUUUUGGGGGGCCGGGCCACCCCUCCAAGCACGCGACCGCUUUCCCACCCCGGCCCGCCUCCAACCGGGUGGGUCGGGGAGGGGCGGACUGUCCCCAGUGCGCCCUGGGCAGGUCACACCGUCGGGCCAGAGGGUUGUUUCUCGGUCACACAGGUCAGCAAAGCGAGUGCACCCGGGUCAGCGGUGACGUUAGCCACCCAACCGACCCGUCUAGAAACGACGAACCAAGGAGUCUAACGCAUGCGUACGCGCGGAUCUUCCAGAGAUUAAGCCGCUGUGGAGCAAUGAAGGUGAAGGUUGCCUUAUCUGGCGGCUGAGGUGGGAUCCCGAGGACUCUCCAGUCCACCGAGGGUGCUCCACUGGCCUGUCUUGCCUGCCACGCUGAGGAGGUGGAGCAUGGUCACACAUGUUAGGACCUGAAAGAUGGUGAACUAUGCCUGGGAAGGGCAAAGCCAGAAGAAACUCUGGUGGAGGACCAUAGCGAUCCUGACGUGCAAAUCGGUUGUCCAACCUGGAUAUAGAUAGGGGCAAAAGACUAAUCGAGCCAUAGAGUUGCUGGUUCCCUCUGAAGUUUCCCUCAGGAUAGCUGGUGCUCUUGCAAUGGACCCAGUUUUAUCAGGUAAAGUGAAAGAUUAGAGGUCUUGGGGCAGAAACUAUCUCAACCUAUUCUCAAACUUUAAAUGGGUAAGAAGCCUGGCUCGCUGGCGUGGUGCCAGGUGUAGAAUGCAAGUGCCUAGUGGGCCACUUUUGGUAAGCAGAACUAGCACUGUGGGAUAAACCAGACGCCAGGUUAAGGCACCAGAUGCUGAUGCUCAUCAGACCCCAGAAAAGAUGUUGGUUGAUAUAGACAGCAGGACGGUGCCCAUGGAAGUUGGAAUCCGCUAAGGAGUGUGUAACAACUCACCUGCUGAAUAGAAUAGCCCUGAAAAUGGAUGGUAGCUGGAGCGUCGUACCUAUACCUGGCCAUUGCAGGCAGUCAGAGAGGCGCGAGAGGGAUGGGAGCUCCGGAAGGAGGUCACCCCUCCCCCCAUCGCAUCCCUGCAGACGCUAGGCCACAAGGAGUAGGAGGGUUGCUUCGGUGAGCCUUGAAGCCUAAGGCGCAGGCCCAGGUGGAGCCUCCGCAGGUGCAGAUCUUGGUGGUGGUAGCAAAUAUUCAAAUGAGAACUUUGAAGGCAGAAGUGGAGAAGAGUUCCAUGUGAACAGCAGUUGAAAAUGGGUCAGUUGGUCCUGAGAGAUGGGCGAGCACCGUUCCGAAGGGACAGGCAAUGGCCUCCGUUGCCCUCGGCCGAUCGAAAGGGAGUUGGGUUCAGAUCCCCUAAUAUGGCGUGGCAGAGAUGGGUGUGUAACGUGCAGUAACGCAACCGAUCCCAGAAAAGCUGGCGGGAGCUCUGUGAUUGUUCUCUUUUCUUUGUGAAUGGCAGGGCAUACUGGAAUGGGUUCUCCCCCAGAAAGGGGCCCGUGUCUGUGUCCGGUGAGCUCUCGCUGGCCCUUGAAAAUUCAGGGGAGAAGGUGUAAAUCUCGCGCCAGGCCGUACCCAUAUCCCCAGCAGCUAUCCAAGGUGAACAGCCUCUGGUAUGUUGGAACAAUGUAGGUAAGGGAAGUCGGCAAGCCGGAUCUGUAACUUCGGGAUAAGGAUUGGCUCUAAGGGCUGGGUCAGUCGGGCUGGGGC
rnacentral:rRNA from 1 species